rnacentral:rRNA from 1 species
GGUUAAGCGACUAAGCGUACACGGUGGAUGCCCUGGCAGUCAGAGGCGAUGAAGGACGUGCUAAUCUGCGAUAAGCGUCGGUAAGGUGAUAUGAACCGUUAUAACCGGCGAUUUCCGAAUGGGGAAACCCAGUGUGUUUCGACACACUAUCAUUAACUGAAUCCAUAGGUUAAUGAGGCGAACCGGGGGAACUGAAACAUCUAAGUACCCCGAGGAAAAGAAAUCAACCGAGAUUCCCCCAGUAGCGGCGAGCGAACGGGGAGCAGCCCAGAGCCUGAAUCAGUGUGUGUGUUAGUGGAAGCGUCUGGAAAGGCGCGCGAUACAGGGUGACAGCCCCGUACACAAAAAUGCACAUGCUGUGAGCUCGAUGAGUAGGGCGGGACACGUGGUAUCCUGUCUGAAUAUGGGGGGACCAUCCUCCAAGGCUAAAUACUCCUGACUGACCGAUAGUGAACCAGUACCGUGAGGGAAAGGCGAAAAGAACCCCGGCGAGGGGAGUGAAAAAGAACCUGAAACCGUGUACGUACAAGCAGUGGGAGCACGCUUAGGCGUGUGACUGCGUACCUUUUGUAUAAUGGGUCAGCGACUUAUAUUCUGUAGCAAGGUUAACCGAAUAGGGGAGCCGAAGGGAAACCGAGUCUUAACUGGGCGUUAAGUUGCAGGGUAUAGACCCGAAACCCGGUGAUCUAGCCAUGGGCAGGUUGAAGGUUGGGUAACACUAACUGGAGGACCGAACCGACUAAUGUUGAAAAAUUAGCGGAUGACUUGUGGCUGGGGGUGAAAGGCCAAUCAAACCGGGAGAUAGCUGGUUCUCCCCGAAAGCUAUUUAGGUAGCGCCUCGUGAAUUCAUCUCCGGGGGUAGAGCACUGUUUCGGCAAGGGGGUCAUCCCGACUUACCAACCCGAUGCAAACUGCGAAUACCGGAGAAUGUUAUCACGGGAGACACACGGCGGGUGCUAACGUCCGUCGUGAAGAGGGAAACAACCCAGACCGCCAGCUAAGGUCCCAAAGUCAUGGUUAAGUGGGAAACGAUGUGGGAAGGCCCAGACAGCCAGGAUGUUGGCUUAGAAGCAGCCAUCAUUUAAAGAAAGCGUAAUAGCUCACUGGUCGAGUCGGCCUGCGCGGAAGAUGUAACGGGGCUAAACCAUGCACCGAAGCUGCGGCAGCGACGCCUUNNNNNNNNNNNNNNNNNNNNNNNNNNNNNNNNNNNNNNNNNNNNNNNNNNNNNNNNNNNNNNNNNNNNNNNNNNNNNNNNNNNNNNNNNNNNNCAUGCUGGAGGUAUCAGAAGUGCGAAUGCUGACAUAAGUAACGAUAAAGCGGGUGAAAAGCCCGCUCGCCGGAAGACCAAGGGUUCCUGUCCAACGUUAAUCGGGGCAGGGUGAGUCGACCCCUAAGGCGAGGCCGAAAGGCGUAGUCGAUGGGAAACAGGUUAAUAUUCCUGUACUUGGUGUUACUGCGAAGGGGGGACGGAGAAGGCUAUGUUGGCCGGGCGACGGUUGUCCCGGUUUAAGCGUGUAGGCUGGUUUUCCAGGCAAAUCCGGAAAAUCAAGGCUGAGGCGUGAUGACGAGGCACUACGGUGCUGAAGCAACAAAUGCCCUGCUUCCAGGAAAAGCCUCUAAGCAUCAGGUAACAUCAAAUCGUACCCCAAACCGACACAGGUGGUCAGGUAGAGAAUACCAAGGCGCUUGAGAGAACUCGGGUGAAGGAACUAGGCAAAAUGGUGCCGUAACUUCGGGAGAAGGCACGCUGAUAUGUAGGUGAAGUCCCUCGCGGAUGGAGCUGAAAUCAGUCGAAGAUACCAGCUGGCUGCAACUGUUUAUUAAAAACACAGCACUGUGCAAACACGAAAGUGGACGUAUACGGUGUGACGCCUGCCCGGUGCCGGAAGGUUAAUUGAUGGGGUUAGCCGCAAGGCGAAGCUCUUGAUCGAAGCCCCGGUAAACGGCGGCCGUAACUAUAACGGUCCUAAGGUAGCGAAAUUCCUUGUCGGGUAAGUUCCGACCUGCACGAAUGGCGUAAUGAUGGCCAGGCUGUCUCCACCCGAGACUCAGUGAAAUUGAACUCGCUGUGAAGAUGCAGUGUACCCGCGGCAAGACGGAAAGACCCCGUGAACCUUUACUAUAGCUUGACACUGAACAUUGAGCCUUGAUGUGUAGGAUAGGUGGGAGGCUUUGAAGUGUGGACGCCAGUCUGCAUGGAGCCGACCUUGAAAUACCACCCUUUAAUGUUUGAUGUUCUAACGUUGACCCGUAAUCCGGGUUGCGGACAGUGUCUGGUGGGUAGUUUGACUGGGGCGGUCUCCUCCUAAAGAGUAACGGAGGAGCACGAAGGUUGGCUAAUCCUGGUCGGACAUCAGGAGGUUAGUGCAAUGGCAUAAGCCAGCUUGACUGCGAGCGUGACGGCGCGAGCAGGUGCGAAAGCAGGUCAUAGUGAUCCGGUGGUUCUGAAUGGAAGGGCCAUCGCUCAACGGAUAAAAGGUACUCCGGGGAUAACAGGCUGAUACCGCCCAAGAGUUCAUAUCGACGGCGGUGUUUGGCACCUCGAUGUCGGCUCAUCACAUCCUGGGGCUGAAGUAGGUCCCAAGGGUAUGGCUGUUCGCCAUUUAAAGUGGUACGCGAGCUGGGUUUAGAACGUCGUGAGACAGUUCGGUCCCUAUCUGCCGUGGGCGCUGGAGAACUGAGGGGGGCUGCUCCUAGUACGAGAGGACCGGAGUGGACGCAUCACUGGUGUUCGGGUUGUCAUGCCAAUGGCACUGCCCGGUAGCUAAAUGCGGAAGAGAUAAGUGCUGAAAGCAUCUAAGCACGAAACUUGCCCCGAGAUGAGUUCUCCCUGACUCCUUGAGAGUCCUGAAGGAACGUUGAAGACGACGACGUUGAUAGGCCGGGUGUGUAAGCGCAGCGAUGCGUUGAGCUAACCGGUACUAAUGAACCGUGAGGCUUAACCUU